GGCCGCUGUCAGGGAGCGGCUUCAAGAGGAAUGGUGGGGGAGAGAUCUGGAAAUCAUUUUCAAGGAGGCUUCUGGAGACUCAUUGGCAGGAAACACACAGAGCACCUUGCCUCAGUCAGAAACAAGGGCUUGGCUGCAAAGAACAUGCAGAGGCAGUGGUUACCUGGGGUCACUGCAACUGGGGUCUGUUACAUUGAAGCACGGUUACCUACCAACAAGUUUGUCUCUGCACCACGCGAUGAAUCUAUUGAUGUAGGGGAGGAAGAUGACAAGGCCAAGAAGAAGAAAAUCAUGAAAAGACACAUAUGAACCGGUGAGAGGUAAAGUGAGCAGAACGAGGAGCACACUGUACACAGUAACAGCAAUAUUGGAAGGAUGACCUGCUGUGAAAGACUUAACUACUCUGAUCAAGAAAGUAAUCCAAGACUUCCAAAAGACCCAUGAUGAAAGAUGCUAUCCACCUCUAGAAGAGAACUGGAUGAACUGUGAAUGUAGAGUGAAGCACACUUUUUGUUGUUUUAUUUUGUUUGUACUUCCUUUCACAACAUGGCUGAUGUGAAAAAAAAAUAAUAAUGUUCUCUUAAAAAAAAAAAAGAUCUUUUUGAGUUCUAGUCCUCAAUAAGUUCUAGGGCUCAAUAAUUGGCUGUCACUAACUUACUGAGUAACACUGGGUAAGUCCCUUUCCCUUUCUGGGACUCAGUUUCC